rnacentral:rRNA from 1 species
GACGAACGCUGGCGGCGUGCCUAAUACAUGCAAGUUGAGCGAUGAAGCUUGGUGCUUGCACCAAUUUGAAGAGCAGCGAACGGGUGAGUAACGCGUGGGGAAUCUGCCUUUGAGCGGGGGACAACAUUUGGAAACGAAUGCUAAUACCGCAUAACAACUUUAAACAUAAGUUUUAAGUUUGAAAGAUGCAAUUGCAUCACUCAAAGAUGAUCCCGCGUUGUAUUAGCUAGUUGGUGAGGUAAAGGCUCACCAAGGCGAUGAUACAUAGCCGACCUGAGAGGGUGAUCGGCCACAUUGGGACUGAGACACGGCCCAAACUCCUACGGGAGGCAGCAGUAGGGAAUCUUCGGCAAUGGACGAAAGUCUGACCGAGCAACGCCGCGUGAGUGAAGAAGGUUUUCGGAUCGUAAAACUCUGUUGGUAGAGAAGAACGUUGGUGAGAGUGGAAAGCUCAUCAAGUGACGGUAACUACCCAGAAAGGGACGGCUAACUACG